CUGCUAGCUAGCACUGGAGUGCAACAUAUAUGAUCAGUGAGGAGGAAGGUGAGAGCUGCAUUCCUGACCUGUGGAGGUGAGGUCCAUGGGAGGAAAGAUCUGCUGCUCGAUUGGUUCCCAAAGCCUACAAAUGACUGGUAUGAUGAAAUCAAGGGGAUGAAUCCAUCUGAAGUCCCGAACGCUGUGCCAAAACCACAAGUGAAACAGAGUCACAUGAGGUGGAAUGAACAUUGAGGCUUCGUCACAGGCCACAAUGACUCAGACUUAGAGGACCCACUUACUUCCACACUCACCAAUUUACCCACCCGCUAGCUCUGAGACAAACACUCAUUCUUCUCCAUACUCACAGCUAUUUCUGCACAUUCUGAG
ensembl:lncRNA